AGGAGGACCCUCACCCUCCUCUCUGCCUUUCUCCUGGUGGCCCUUCAGGCCUGGGCAGAGCCGCUCCCGGCAAGAGCUCAUGAGAUGCCAGCCCAGAAGCAGCCUCCAGCAGAUGACCAGGAUGUGGUCCUUUACUUUUCAGGAGAUGACAGCUGCUCUCUUCAGGUUCCAGGCUCAACAAAGGGCUUGAUCUGCCAUUGCAGAGUACUAUACUGCAUUUUUGGAGAACAUCUUGGUGGGACCUGCUUCAUCCUUGGUGAACGCUACCCAAUCUGCUGCUACUAA
rnacentral:lncRNA from 1 species